ACCGACGCGCCGCCGCCGUCCCCCACGAUCUGGAUCCCCACGAACCAGCCGCUGGCGACCGCAUCCACUCUGCCAUGGGCGCCACCUCCACUCCCCUCCCCUCCCAUUCCUGGCUGGAGAUCCCCUCCUCUCCAAUCCCACCUGCGCUCCACAGUCGAACCCUACACGCGCGCGUGCUAGGGGCUGCCCUGAUCUGUGAGAUGUGGCGCAACCGCGUGUCGCGGGGCCUCCGGGAGGCAAAGGCCGCCGCUGCUGCCGCCGCCGCAUCCAGGAGCUUCUCCACCACCUCGGUAUCCCCUAUUCCUCCUCAUGUGCCCAAAAUCCAGCCCCGCCACCGAGCACAUCUGCCUCGCCGCCUGCGACUCCGCCCUCUACCCCGCUGCCGGCUCCCCCCACCAUCUGCUCCUUCCCUCGCCUCCCCUCCAGACCGGCUCGACCUAGGCUGGCUAUUUCCUCUAGAUCCGUCGGCAGGGGAGGAGGAGGCGCCUCCUCCCACUGCCACAUCACCCUCCAACCUUCUCUCCUUCCUCGCACGUGCCCAGAACCCUAGCCACGGCACACGAGGAGUGUUGGUAGUGCACCGAGCGCUGCCUCGACUGGGGCGGCGGCGGCGGCCCCGACCUCAUCCUCGACGAUGCCCCGCUGCUCAUCCACCAUGGUGUCAAGGCCGACGAGGAGACCAUCACCGGCGUCAAGCAGUUGCAGGAGUCCGUCACUCUCCUGUUCCAUGCCAUCAAUGUCACCAAGAGCAAGGGGAUCCCAUCAUGAUAACCUUGUGCGCCGGCAUACUGCAGCGUGAUUGCUGUCAUGUGUGUGUUCCUUGAGCUACAGGUUGAUUUGAUCUGUACAAGCUGCUGCUGCUGCAGGUGGACAAGGAAGCCCGCAUGGUUGCUGCUGCACUACAGUCUGCUUUUCAUUUUUUGAACAAGAUGUAUUAAUGUUAAGUUGACAUUACUGUUGCCUUGAGCUACAUACACUUACUAACAUAGAUCCUGGUAUCCUGUUGUUUACUCUAAGACUUGUUGUUUAGCAAGGCUUGAGUAAUUUAGUGUACUACAUCUUUAGUUUCAACUGAAAUUUUUAUCAUGCUAUUGUGACAUCUACUGAAAAUUUCAAACAAAUGAAAGGAGUACUGUAGUUACAAAUGGAGCCUGCAAAUUUUGUACAUCUACUGUACUCAAUUUUAGUUAUAUGUAGUUACAAAGCAUCAAUUGUAAGACUAUAACUAAACAUAUCUUCUUAUCCUCUUUGAUUUUACUCAUACACAUGCUUAUGAUCCUGUUAACAACAUAGCGUUUGUAAUGCGGCCUCGUUGUUGUUCUCUUUUUCAUAUGCAGUUCUACUGUUAUGUGUGUGAUGCUCCAGCUCCAUGCAAGCACUGGGGCAAAGGGCUCUGUCAAGCAGGUCUUGUGGUAAGCAUCUCGUUUCCGCUCAGUCCCCCAUCCGCCCAUGUCUGUUCGUUCAAACUGGUGGUGCUACGAGAUGGGUUUUCUUGUGGAUUCUUGUUUUGGUAGUAGUUUACUUUGCUAUGAGUAAAAUGCUGGUACUUUGCUUGCCAUGUCUGGUUCUUGUUUUGGUAGUAGUUUGCUUUGCUUAUCCAGUAGUAUUAGUCAAUUGGCCAGCCUGGAUUAACUUGCUAUUGUACAUGAUGGUGUUAACUAUGAAAAUGCCAAGUGUGAGAAAAUUAGACCAGCUGUCCAUUUCUUGCCUGAAUGCAUUCUUUAAAUGAGAUGAUGUGCUAGAGACAUGCUACUUACUAUAAACAAGAUGGUGUUUACUGUAUUGUCUUUCAUGCACAUUUGGUGUAUUAUCUUCUGACCUACUGGUGUCAUAUGUACUGUACACAUAGAAGGUGAACUAUCUUCACUGAAAUUCAAGAACUAUCUUCACUGUUUCUCCCUGCUGCAUGCCUCACCCAUUCUCCUUCUUAGUCUUGAUAUAGCUCUGCAGUUUACUUGAAUCUGUAGUUGCUUUCAAAAGUAUAUGCAAAGUGUGUGUGUGUGUGUGUGUGUGUCCAGUGAGCAAAUCUGUAGUAAUUACUGACUAUACUAUCUGCUUUCUUUUAGUGGAUAUUUUCUCCUCAGUUCUCUUUUGACAUAUAGUUUGUUCUCUUUGAA